CUCCUCCAAGACAGCCAAGACGCGCCCUCUCCCCUCGGAUCCAUGGCGCUGCUCAGCGCCGGCGCGGCCCUGCGGGCGCGCGUGGUCGCCCCGGCACUGACGGCGGCGGUGUGGGCGUGCCUCGCCAUGUCGCUGCCCCUUAAAGUCGCCGCCUCGGUGGCCCUCCGCCACGAACCAAGGCCAGCGACAUCUACCGUGCCCGGAUCCGACACGAGGACCACGAGCAGGGGACGGGCUGCAGUUAUAUGCCACUCCAGUUAGCAAGCGAGGAGCUCAUCUUGCUCGAUCUUGCAAGGGCUGAACAGCCGUUUGGAUCGAGAUGUUUGAAGGGAUGGAGGGGAUGAGCUACGGCGGCGGUGCUGCUGGCGCUGGUGCCGGGGCGACGGCGCUGUCGCCGCGGGACCCCAAGCAGCGGCUGCGGUAGACGCCGGACCUCCACGACCGCUUUGUGCACGCCGUCGCCAGGCUCGGCGGCCCCGACAAAGCGACGCCAAAGGGAGGCUCAGGCUGAUGGCCAUGAAAGGCCUCACUCUGUACCACCUGAAAAGCCACCUUCAGAAAUACAGGUUGGGAAAACACAACAAGAAAUCCACAGACCUGGAAUUAGCCAACAGUGGAGACUGUUGUGAUGGAAAAUCAUUUGAUUUGCUACAUAUCAUCAAUUCAACAGGAAGCGCCAACGGUGACAAGAUAGAUAG